UGAUGUCAUGACCUUUGAUCAGGCGAUUCGUAUUUCCAAGUAUUUGUUGCACAAUCAAGGUUUUGUUAUUGCAAAAUACCAAAAUCAAACCAAAGUGAAGGCGGAAGUGUUUCAAAACCUCGUCUGUCUCUUGGUUUCGAUAUAUUUGCUUCACAAUGUAAGAUAAACCUUACUAAGAGAGAUCAUGAAUUAGUAUAUCUAUUUCUACAAUAGAAAGCAGAGCGAAGUUUUGUCAGCUGUAAAUAAUGGCUUGUUGCCCGACGGAAGAGAAAUAUGGCUACGAACAUAGCAGGUUUGAGAAAGAUGUCGACGAAAAUUUUCAUUGCUCGAUCUGCUACAAUGUUCUUAAAGAACCAAGGAUGUGUAGAAAUAAUGGCCACGUCUAUUGUCUUGCCUGCAUCAGUAAACAUCUGAAAGUAAAUUCUCAAACUUGCCC